GUGGCUGUACCUUAGCGGUAGAGUGCUUGCCUUACAUGUGUGAGGCACUGGGUUCGGUCCUCAGCAGCACA
rnacentral:tRNA from 1 species